AUAACAAUAAAGGGACUCUUUCGAGGCCCUGUAAUUGGAAGGAGCACACUUUAAAUCCUUUAACGAGGAUCUAUUGGAGGGCACCCCAA